rnacentral:rRNA from 1 species
UGGGGAAUAUUGCACAAUGGGCGCAAGCCUGAUGCAGCGACGCCGCGUGAGGGACGACGGCCUUCGGGUUGUAAACCUCUUUCAGCACAGACGAAGCGCAAGUGACGGUAUGUGCAGAAGAAGGACCGGCCAACUACGUGCCAGCAGCCGCGGUAAUACGUAGGGUCCGAGCGUUGUCCGGAAUUACUGGGCGUAAAGAGCUCGUAGGUGGUUUGUCGCGUUGUUCGUGAAAACUCACAGCUCAACUGUGGGCGUGCGGGCGAUACGGGCAGACUGGAGUACUGCAGGGGAGACUGGAAUUCCUGGUGUAGCGGUGGAAUGCGCAGAUAUCAGGAGGAACACCGGUGGCGAAGGCGGGUCUCUGGGCAGUAACUGACGCUGAGGAGCGAAAGCGUGGGGAGCAAACA